UACGUAGGGGGCAAGCGUUGUCCGGAAUUAUUGGGCGUAAAGAGCUCGUAGGCGGUUUGUUGCGUCGGCUGUGAAAUCCCGAGGCUCAACCUCGGGUCUGCAGUCGAUACGAGCAAACUAGAGUGUUGCAGGGGAGACUGGAAUUCCUGGUGUAGCGGUGAAAUGCGCAGAUAUCAGGAGGAACACCGGUGGCGAAGGCGGGUCUCUGGGCAACAACUGACGCUGAGGCACGAAAGCAUGGGGAGCAAACAGG
rnacentral:rRNA from 1 species